UACGAAGGGGGCUAGCGUUGUUCGGAAUUACUGGGCGUAAAGCGCACGUAGGCGGAUAUUUAAGUCAGGGGUGAAAUCCCAGAGCUCAACUCUGGAACUGCCUUUGAUACUGGGUAUCUCGAGUAUGGAAGAGGUGAGUGGAAUUCCGAGUGUAGAGGUGAAAUUCGUAGAUAUUCGGAGGAACACCAGUGGCGAAGGCGGCUCACUGGUCCAUUACUGACGCUGAGGUGCGAAAGCGUGGGGAGCGAACAGG
rnacentral:rRNA from 1 species